ACUAAAGCUUUUCACAACCAAUCUAGCUUUGUCUUUGGUUGAGAAUAAUAUUCUUGAGUGUUCAACCUAAAAACUCACUUGUUCUUCAAAGUCUUCAUUCCCUUUAGCAGAAACACCAAAUCAUAAGUGUGGUUCUUCUGAAAAGCAUCCAUCUCUUCCUGCAUAGCAAUUAACCAUUUCUUUUUCUACUCACUUUCAACUGCUUCCUGGUGAUAUGGCAAAAAAUGGCAGACCGAGCACAGCCGGACGGGGCAGAAGAAGGUAAUGGUUGAAGCUCGCCCAUACCCUGCGAUCCCCUGAUCUCCCACGCAACCCCCUGAGCAACACACUGCCCGAGGCUCUCCGUACCCUGCAGCAGCUCGGCCUCCCACACAACCCCAGCGGUAACAUCAAACCUUCUCUAUAAACACCCCUGAGUCCUAAGCAAAAAGGGGGGAACUCACUCAAACACAACACUCAGAGGCUCUUCUUCUGCCUCAUCCACAAUCCCCUCCACAUCCUUCUCUAACUUGAUCGUCGGAGGGGUCGGGCCGAGCUCCCGGCCCGACCUGUGUGCAGGUGCGAGACGGUGUUGCCUCUUCCCGAAGCUGCGGCAGAGCUGCCUCCCGACCCGAGCCGCCGACCCGAAUCGUCGAACCAAGCUGCCUCCCGAACCGAGCCGCCGACCCGACCGGGAAGACCCGACCUACCGACCCGAACCACCGAGCUCGGCUGCAGGGAGACCUCGAGGAGCGCCCCCAAGGAGAUCACCGCCUUCCGGACCCGAACCGAGCCGCGACGGCCCCGAGGCCACGGCUAAUAAGUUACUUACACUAACACCUGAUCUAAUGCCAUGCCCCAACCUUUAUCGACCUGCCCCGAGAGCGACGCAUCAUCAUCGGAAAAGACCUCGCUAGCUCUGGUGGCUGUGCCGCCCAUGAAUGUGGAGCCACUGGCCAUGGUUCCACCAUGCAUACAAUAAGCCCAAGCGACACGAAGUCUCUCCCCGCCGAGUUCGGAGGCCCUUCCUUCUCUGCCGCCGAAGUGGAAGCUUGGGACUGGAAGGCAUGUUUUCCAUCUGCUGCAUUACAACGAUAAUAGAUAGACGCAGGCAGGCAGGCUUCUUUCUUACGGCUGCAUGCAUUCAUUGGUUCAGGUGGCGAGAUGUCAAACUCUCCGACUUCGAGAACGCAAAGCACAGGACUUACGUAGAUCUCAGGGUAAUAAAUAACAGUGUCUGCACCGUCUCAAACACUACGACUAAUUCUGGCAUGUUCGACUAUGUUCUUAGCUUCCGUUUCAAGUGUUACUACUUCUCUCGGACUGGUUUGGUUGGCGGGUGAUGGUAGGAAAGUUAGCUGCAUCCAUUUUAGCAUAUGCGUGACGUUGCCCUACGCAACUUGGUUAAAGACAUCGACUCGGUUAGGGAUAAAGAUGGACCGAAGUGUCAUUCUUGCAUCUCUCCUAUGGUGGGAAGAAGCUGCACGUCUCUGGAGAAAAGAUAGUGUAAUGUGCCAUGUGCUAAUCAUGGUGGAAUUGUUUUGGUUGACGCACAGUCAGGAUUUCUCCACGGCACUGGUCUCAGCAUCAAGCCAAACUCCAGCUGAGAUCUCUUUCAUAUCUAUCUAAAGAGAUAGAAGCCAGAUGUUCCACGCUAGAUUCUCUCAAGAAAAUACGAAAAAGACAGGUAAAAUUAGUUGAUGAAUCUGUAAUACAUGCAGCAUUAUCAUACACGUCUCCCAUUUCCCACCUCACUCACCAAGAUUUCACCAAGUCCGUCUUCUCGGCUCCAGUAAGAGCGAUUGUGACUCACUGGUGGAGAUCAUCCCAACAUCAAAAAACAAUGUAAUUUGGUGUUCGUUCUCCUGUCAGGGAGAAUUGAUUUCGGCCCGUUCUUCCUACAAAUCUCCAGCGAUGGCUUGCGGUGGAUCUGGAGAAACGUAGAAAAUGAAUCAAUUGUGCUCUGUUCUACAAAUCGUUGCUUUAGGUUUGAAGUUAAAAGGAGACAUAGAGGUCGCUGAUUCUGUUCAA